GAUGAUCUGUCACUGUCUCCCAUCACCCCCAGAUGGGACCAUCUAGUUACAGGAAAAGAAGGUCAAGACUCCCACUCAUUCUUCAUUAUGCCUCAGCCGAGAUGUCUCACCCCACUCUCUAUGAUGCAACAAGAAGCCCCUGGAGAACGUUUCAGUCCCACUCUGUACUUCUGUCAUGUGCUCAUCACAGUCUGGUGGAAUUUAAAUGACCCCUUAUCAAGAUGGAUAAACCCAAGUUUCCCAGUGCUG